rnacentral:misc_RNA from 1 species
AACAAGGCGUACCUGCGGACCUGCGGAAGGAUCAUUACCGAGUUUACAACUCCCAAACCCAUGUGAACAUACCUAUCGUUGCUUCGGCGGAUCGCCCCGGGCGCCUUGCGUGCCCCGGAUCCAGGCGGCCGCCGGGGGACCUUAACUCUUGUUUUUACUGAGAAUCUUCUGAGUCGUUUUUACAAAUAAAUAAAAACUUUUAACAAUGGAUCU